rnacentral:rRNA from 1 species
CCUACGGGUGGCAGCAGUGGGGGAUAUUGCACAAUGGGGGGAACCCUGAUGCAGCGACGCCGCGUGGGUGAAGAAGCGCCUCGGCGCGUAAAGCUCUGUCAGCAGGGAAGAAAAAGACGGUACCUGAAGAAGAAGCCCCGGCUAACUACGUGCCAGCAGCCGCGGUAAUAUGGAGGGGGCAAGCGUUAUCCGGAUUUACUGGGUGUAAAGGGGGCGCAGACGGCGAUGCAAGCCAGGAGUGAACGCCCGGGGCCCAACCCAGGGACUGCUCUGGGAACUGGGUGGCUGGAGUGCAGGGGGGGCAGGCGGAAUUCGUGGUGUAGCGGUGAAAUGCGUAGAUAUCAGGAGGAACACCGGUGGCGAAGGCGGCCUGCGGGACUGCAACUGACGUUGAGGCCCGAAGGCGUGGGGAGCAAACAGGAUUAGAUACCCGGGUAGUC